ACCACGCGAGAGGCUCUCGUCUCGCCGCCGUCGCUUAGGGUUCGCCCGCGGCAGCUCGAUUGGAGGCGCGGGGUGGUCCGCGAGGGAGAUCGACCGGGGAGGAAGGCGCUGGGGCUGUGGUGGGUGGCUAGCGACGAGGACGGGGGUGGUCGGCGAGCUGCAAGGCGGCGGUGUCUACCGGCGCUCCUCCGCUCCUCGCUUUUUCACCGGCGGCAACGAGCGCCCGACAUUGCAGCUGACUACCUGACGCCGGCUCCUUCAUCCCCACCAGCUAGUCCACCUCAUCGGUACCGCCGCCCGCCUGCCGACCCGGCAGCUGACCCUGCACCCAGUGCCCGACACCGGCUCCUUCAUCCCCACCAGCUACUCCAGCUCGUCGGUACCGCCGCCCGCCUUUGCAGGCCACCUCGUCGGCACGUUUGUCCUCACUGGUUAACGAUAGAUCAGGUUCUCACGGUUCUCCCCUUUUCCUCUUACCCCUCCUCUCCUUAAAUCGAAAGCAGAUAUGUUCUUCCACUUCGCCCUCGCCGUCCUCUCCUCCUCGUCUCCUUCGUUUGGCCGCUGCGCUGGUAGAUCCGUCGUCGUCUGCGCCUUCCACACGCUCUGUGUCGUCGGGGUGCCCAGUGUUACCCCAUGGUGGUGCUCUGCUGUGGGUUUGGUUAAGAUCAAUUUUUGUUUCACCGGUGGGAAUUUGGUUCUGCUUACUCGAUUUCCUUUUUUUGCGCUCGUGAAUCCACCUCGUCUUUUGUGGACUUCGUUUUGGCAUCUUUCUCUUCCUAGAUCUCAGGUCAAAGAAAGCAUUAUAAGAGCUUCAACUGUUUCAUGGGAUGAUAUAGGAGGUUUGAAAGAUCUAAAGAAAAAGCUUCAGCAAGCUGUUGAGUGGCCCAUCAAGCAUGCUACUGCAUUUGCUAGACUAGGGAUAUCACCAGUUCGUGGUGUGCUUUUGCAUGCUCAAAGACCACUCUUGCCAAGGCUGCAGCACAUGCUUCCCAAGCUUCUUUCUUUUCUUUGAGUGGUGCAGAAUUAUACUCGAAGUAUGUUGGAGAAGGUGAUGCUUUAUUGCGAAGAAUAUUCCAGAGGGCACGUCUAUCUGCUCCAAGCAUUAUAUUUUUUGAUGAGGCUGAUGCAAUUGCCCCUAAAAGGU